UUAGGUAUUGGGUUUUUUUAGGUUUACAGGAAUACCUACAGACAGACCUGUAACAAACACCGUUCUUACGAUGAUCACGAGGUAAUCAUCCAGCAAAGUGUCACUUUAGUUCUAAAUUAAUUAGUGACUAAGGUAACUUACUUAAACAGCUGCAAUCAAAACUAUCAGAUAGCGAUUAGAUUGAAUAGCAGUUGGAAAUAUUUUUAAAUUUAUAUUUAAAUACUUUAAAGAAUGGACGAUUAAAGUUGAUAAUUUAUACAUCUCUUAAUUUUAAUAAGCAUGCAAACGAACAAGUAAUGUCUAUCAUCAGCAUUUGUCUUUAAUAUAGUGAAAGACCCGCUCCCUCUUUCUCUAUCUACAUAAACCGGUUGUGUCCAAUCAACCACAAAAUAUUGUUUCCUCAGGCCCCACAGGUAGCGAAGCGUGCAACGAAUUGCAACGCAGAGAGCCCUUGUUUACAAUCCCAAUGAUCUGAUUACUAGACGGUUGGACAAUUUACUCACUGCUCCCCGGUUUCGUCAGAGGUUAAUUGGUACAAACGUUGUCGCAGUACGGCACGUACACACGAUGCUGCAGGAAAACGACAUUCAAUGUCAUAACAGAACGUAAAUUAGUGCAGACCGUUUAGUUUUAUUCGAGGAAUUUACAUACGAGUUGUGAUAAAAAUAAAUUCUACCUCAGUUAGCACCUACCUAGCAAAUACAUGAAAAACAUAGAUCAAAAUAAUCUGCAAGAAACAAUCCAGUGCUGAUGAUGAUUCCCGAGGCGAACAAAAGUGCGAUGGAAUCAACAAACACAUAUUCCCACAUAUGCACAGCGAUGGUCUAAUUACAGUCUUCUUUCAACACCGGUACUGCGCGGUGUGUUUUGACUCACAACCACCAGAAACGUAUACCAUGGAUAGGAUAGGAUAAACGCGAUCGGAAAUAACGUUCUACGUCAGCGGGGUCAGCGCAAAUCACUUCAUCGAGGAAGCAUACUGGCGAAGAAAACCUGCUUGUUCUUACGGUUGUGCGGGGUAAAGAUGUUACUACAAUAUAUUCCGCUAUGUAUAAUCCUUAAGCGCCUCAUAGUGUACCAUUAAUAUUUUUUUCAAAACCUCAAAAGUAUUUAUACUAAACAGUUGCAUUUUCAAUGUAAAUUCAUAAAAUCGAUAAAUAGAUUAAAUUAAGGGGCGAUUCCGUGGUACGGUCGUCAACUCGUACGACUGAAUAACAUGCCAGUCAUUGGUUCAAUCCUAGAAAGGACCGUCUAUCCGUAGCAAGGACUGACUAUCUAGCUGCGUUGCAAUGAAUUAAGUCUCGAAAGCCUCUGUAUAGGCCGGCAUGUCCGCGUAGGACGUUACGCCAAAUACAAGAUUAAGAUUAAAUCGAUUUCAUCAUCAUAUGUGAAUACAGCGAUUUGGGUUUCAUCUGCCAAUAGUAGAUGCAAUGACGCUUUUACCGGACAGGACGCAAAUCGUGUUUGGCAUCUGGACUAUCAUACGGUAGGACAGACUCAUGAUCCAGAUCUACUUCGUUAGCUUGUGUGAAAAGACGGCGAAUUGUAUCUCGUAAUCCCUCUACGGCAACUACUUUCAACGACCGUAUCUGUAUCGAAGCUUCGUUUUACUAAAGUAGUGAAUAUUUUGACAAGUUUUACGCAACUGAAACAAAACGAGACUUACCGGGAAACUUUCGAAUCGCGUACAGCACAAACAUGGACGUUAAGUAUUCGUUGUAUCCUUCCCACAAACCAUCACUAGCUAAUAUAAGCAAAAGAUCAUCUUCCGUGCACUGAUUUAACGAUACUGCCGGGUUUGCCGUCACGUAGGGUUUGUAGAAACGGUUGCCUAAAAAUUAAAAACAAAAAUCAACAAUUAAGCACUGGCAAUCUCAAGUUAACCAAAACAAUGGAUUGGAACUUACCAAUCGCUCGGGUAAUGGCCAGCUGUCCACUAACACGAAACUGACCAUUCCAGGGAAUUACGCAUCCUCCCUCCCGAUCAAUACGUUCCCGCUCGUCCUGUAACGCAAAUACGGAAAGGUUAAUGAUCAAUUACCAAUUCUGAUUAUACUGAACAUCGCACACUUACCGGAUCGGACGCUACAUGGGUAGGAUGGACGAUCGGCUUGUAAACCCCUUCGCCCGGAUUUCGUCUCACGAGAAUGGCUUGGGAAUCGCCAACCCAAGCUACAUCGAUCCGCUGCGAACGCGUAUGAUGUACACAGGCAACGGCCGUCGAUCCACUGUUCAGGUGCUGCAAGGGGACGAGAAAAAACGACAUUAAAAAAUCGCUCUCUACCUUACACAAACCCUGCCCCGUGUAUCGUCCCGCAUACAUACAUGGUUUUCACACUUUUCCAAAAACAAUUGAUCAGUCUUGAGGAACCCAUCCCGGAACGCUUGCUCCAUGUCGUGCGGAUAGUGUUCGCUCUGGGCAAUGUAGUAGUGCAGGUAGGAGGCCGCAAAGCUGGCCGCCUCCUGGCCACCGUGCCCAUCGUACACACCGUAGAAGGCGGUCGGUUCCGUGUCCUUCGUGCGGAACAGCGUGUUAAAGUCGGGCAGACACACGUGCCGGUCCUCCAUCGUGCGCCGGCGAUGCUUUAGUCCUCGCGAAAAGUGUACCUUUGGCACGGGGGCGAUGGCGCCCCCGCCAGCCGCUCCGUCCGGCUGAUCCGUGCCCAGCUGGGCGAGCAGAUUGUUCAGCUUCGCAUUGUCCAGCAGUCCGAGGCAGGUUUGAUUUACGCGUAAAAUCACUUCAUGGUUCAGCUGGAGCGUGUUAUACUCUGCAGGCAAACAAAAAGGCAAACAAAAAUUGAACUGUUAAAAAUACGUACAAGCAACGUGUGUGUGUGGCUGUUAAUAAAAUCCAACAGCUCUGCCCUAGUUUGCAGAGCUCGGCCCGUUACUUUAUGACGAACCGGCACCUGUACACAUCGGGCAGCGAAGCAACGGGCGUACCGUUACCACACCACCCUCCUCGUCCCCCUCCCGACACCAUACUUACCCUGACCGUUUAACCCGCAAGAUUUGGGAUUUUCUUUGCAAUUGCUCAGCACCUCUUCCAAAACUGUGCGUAUUAUUAGCGGCAAGAUGCACUGCGGACAACCACUGCGGGACGGGGAAACAGAAGCAAAAGAAGAAGAAAAAUAUUGUAAACAAA